GUGAAUCAUCAAAUCUUUGAACGCAAAUUGCACUCUCCGGUUUUCCGGGGGAGUAUGCCUGUUUGAGGGUCUUUUUAAAUAAAAAUCGAGGUGUUGCUGGUGUGUGACCUAUCGGAAUUUGGUUAUCUUUGACCUUUUAAAAAUUUUAAGUGACCUAAAAUUGAUACGUUGUGCAUCUCAGACGUACAUAAUAAUAUUUUUUUAUCCGUCUGGAUUUGCCAACUUUUUAUUAGUUAUGACCAUGCUGUUGGUGGCAUCGUACCUAUAAUAUACUAAUAUAUUGACCUCA
rnacentral:misc_RNA from 1 species